UACGUAGGGGGCUAGCGUUGUCCGGAAUCAUUGGGCGUAAAGAGCGUGUAGGCGGCCCGGUAAGUCCGCUGUGAAAGUCGGGGGCUCAACCCUCGAAUGCCGGUGGAUACUGUCGGGCUAGAGUGCGGAAGAGGCGAGUGGAAUUCCCGGUGUAGCGGUGAAAUGCGCAGAUAUCAGGAGGAACACCGAUUGCGAAGGCAGCUCGCUGGGACGUAACUGACGCUGAGACGCGAAAGCGUGGGGGAGCAAAACAGG
rnacentral:rRNA from 1 species